rnacentral:rRNA from 1 species
UGAGGAAUAUUGGUCAAUGGGCGCAAGCCUGAACCAGCCAUCCCGCGUGCAGGAAGACGGCCCUAUGGGUUGUAAACUGCUUUUCCAGGGAGAGAAACUUGCGUACGCGUUGCGCAAUUGACGGUACCCUGGGAAUAAGCAUCGGCUAACUCCGUGCCAGCAGCCGCGGUAAUACGGAGGAUGCGAGCGUUAUCCGGAUUCAUUGGGUUUAAAGGGUGCGUAGGCGGACUAUUAAGUCAGUGGUGAAAUCCUGCAGCUUAACUGCAGAACUGCCAUUGAUACUGAUAGCCUUGAGUUUGGUUAAGGUAGGCGGAAUGUGUAAUGUAGCGGUGAAAUGCUUAGAUAUUACACAGAACACCAAUUGCGUAGGCAGCUUACUGAGCCGACACUGACGCUGAGG